rnacentral:rRNA from 1 species
GUUAGAUCCUGGCUCAAGAUGACCUUUAGCGGCAGGCUUAACACAUGCAAGUCGAGGGGCAGCAUGUCCAGCAAUGGAUGAUGGCGACCGGCGGAAGGGUGCAUAACGCGUGAGCAACAUGCCCUAUACAGGGAGAUACACCAGGGAAACUUGGUCUAAUAUCCCAUAGCAUUCAUUGAAGGCAUCUUUAAUGAAUUAAAGCUUCGGUGGUAUAAGAUUGGCUCGCGUGACAUUAGCCAGAUGGUGAGGUAACGGCUCACCAUAACAAUGAUGUCUAGGGGUUUUGAGAGGAACGCCCCCCACACUGGGACUGAGACACCGCCCACACUCCUACGGGAGGCAGCAGUGAGGAAUAUUGGACAAUGGAUGGAAAUCUGAUCCACCCAUGCCGCGUGCAAGAAGACCGCCUUAUGGGUUGUAAACUGCUUUUAUACGGGAGCAAUAAGGGUUACGAGUAAUCCGAUGAGAGUACUGUAUGAAUAAGGAUCGGCUAACUCCGUGCCAGCAGCCGCGGUAAUACGGAGGAUCCGAGCGUUAUCCGGAAUUAUUGUGUUUAAAGGGUGCGUGGGCGGCCGUUUGGGUCUGCGGUGUCCUUUUGCGGCUUGGCUGUGCCGGUGCCGUUGGUCCUGUUUGGCUGGGGUUUGGUUGUGGUGUGCGGCCUGUGUGGUGUGGCGGUGGGCUGCUUUGUUGUCGCGCGGCCCUCCGGUUGCGGGCGCCGCUCGCUGUGUCGUUCUUGNCGCUGCGGCNCGUGGGGUGCCAUGAAAGGGCUUUCUCUCCCCUUCUUUCCNNCNCUNUCACCCCUAAAGGGCGCUGUCGGCGAUACACAGUCGGUGGCCAAGCGAAAGCAUUAAGUUAUCCACCUGGGGAGUACGACCGCAAGGUUGAAACUCAAAGGAAUUGACGGGGGCCCGCACAAGCGGAGGAACAUGUGGUUUAAUUCGAUGAUACGCGAGGAACCUUACCCGGGCUCGAACGGUGCAUGAAUAUACGAGAGAUUGUAUAGUCCUUCGGGACAUGUAUCGAGGUGCUGCAUGGUUGUCGUCAGCUCGUGCCGUGAGGUGUCGGCUUAAGUGCCAUAACGAGCGCAACCCUUGUCAUUAGUUGCCAUCAGGUCAAGCUGGGGACUUUAAUGAGACUGCCACCGUAAGGUGUGAGGAAGGGGGGGAUGACGUCAAAUCAGCACGGCCCUUAUGUCCGGGGCGACACACGUGUUACAAUGGGAGGUACAGAGGGCAGCUAUCCGGUGACGGAAGGCUAAUCUCCAAAACCUUUCUCAGUUCGGAUUGGAGUCUGCAACUCGACUCCAUGAAGGUGGAUUCGUUAGUAAUCGCGCAUCAGCCAUGGCGCGGUGAAUACGUUCCCGGGCCUUGUACACACCGCCCGUCAAG